rnacentral:rRNA from 1 species
UACGUAGGGUGCAAGCGUUGUCCGAAAUUAUUGGGCGUAAAGAGCUCGUAGGCGGUCUGUCACGUCGGCUGUGAAAACCCGAGGCCCAACCUCGGGCCUGCAGUCGAUACGGGCAAACUAGAGUACUGCAGGGGAGACUGGAAUUCCUGGUGUAGCGGUGAAAUGCGCAGAUAUCAGGAGGAACACCGGUGGCGAAGGCGGGUCUCUGGGCAGUAACUGACGCUGAGGAGCGAAAGCGUGGGGAGCGAACAGG